rnacentral:rRNA from 1 species
AGUGAACGCUGGCGGUAGGCCUAACACAUGCAAGUCGAACGGCAGCACAGUAAGAGCUUGCUCUUACGGGUGGCGAGUGGCGGACGGGUGAGGAAUACAUCGGAAUCUACUUUUUCGUGGGGGAUAACGUAGGGAAACUUACGCUAAUACCGCAUACGACCUACGGGUGAAAGCAGGGGAUCUUUGGACCUUGCGCGAUUGAAUGAGCCGAUGUCGGAUUAGCUAGUUGGCGGGGUAAAGGCCCACCAAGGCGACGAUCCGUAGCUGGUCUGAGAGGAUGAUCAGCCACACUGGAACUGAGACACGGUCCAGACUCCUACGGGAGGCAGCAGUGGGGAAUAUUGGACAAUGGGGGCAAGCCUGAUCCAGCCAUACCGCGUGGGUGAAGAAGGCCUUCGGGUUGUAAAGCCCUUUUGUUGGGAAAGAAAAGCAGCAGGUUAAUACCCCGCUGUUCUGACGGUACCCAAAGAAUAAGCACCGGCUAACUUCGUG